rnacentral:rRNA from 1 species
AGCGUUGUUCGGAAUUACUGGGCGUAAAGGGUUUGUAGGUGGCCAACUAAGUCAGACGUGAAAUCCCUCAGCUUAACUGGGGAACUGCGUCUGAUACUGGUUGGCUUGAGUGCAGGAGAGGAACGCGGAAUUCCAGGUGUAGCGGUGAAAUGCGUAGAUAUCUGGAGGAACACCGGUGGCGAAGGCGGCGUUCUGGACUGCAACGGACACUGAGAAACGAAAGCCAGGGUAGCAAACGGG